GAUAAACGCUGGCGGCGUGCUUAACACAUGCAAGUCGAACGAAGUUUUUCUUUCGGGAGGAACUUAGUGGCGGACGGGUGAGUAACGCGUGGGUAACCUGCCCUGUACAGGGGGACAACAGCUGGAAACGGCUGCUAAUACCGCAUAAGCCCUUAGCACUGCAUGGUGCAUAGGGAAGAGGAGCAAUCCGGUACAGGAUGGACCCGCGUCUGAUUAGCCAGUUGGCAGGGUAACGGCCUACCAAAGCGACGAUCAGUAGCCGAUCUGAGAGGAUGUACGGCCACAUUGGGACUGAGACACGGCCCAGACUCCUACGGGAGGCAGCAGUGGGGAAUAUUGCACAAUGGAGGAAACUCUGAUGCAGCGACGCCGCGUGAGUGAAGAAGUAUUUCGGUAUGUAAAGCUCUAUCAGCAGGAAAGAAAAUGACGGUUCCUGACUAAGAAGCACCGGCUAAAUACGUG
rnacentral:rRNA from 1 species